rnacentral:rRNA from 1 species
UACGUAGGGGGCAAGCGUUGUCCGGAUUUAUUGGGCGUAAAGAGCGUGUAGGCGGCUUUACAGGUCCGUUGUGAAAACUCGAGGCUCAACCUCGAGACGCCGGUGGAAACCGUAAAGCUAGAGUCCGGAAGAGGAGAGUGGAAUUCCUGGUGUAGCGGUGAAAUGCGUAGAUAUCAGGAGGAACACCCGUGGCGAAAGCGGCUCUCUGGGACGGUACUGACGCUGAGACGCGAAAGCGUGGGGAGCAAACAGG